GGCGGGCGCCGGGCCGAGCUGACCGGCGGCGGGUGCGCUGCCCUCGCCUCCCCCAUUGUUCCGACUGUCUUUUUGCCUUUUGUUAUUUGCACUCGCAUUGUGUUGUUUGUCUCUGAAGCCGCCUCAUGACCAGCCAAGGGAUUUCACCUCGUCCUUGAGAGCUACACGGGGAGCGCGAGCGAGCGAGCCAGAGACUGGGGGAGAGGGACGCGCGCGCGCACACACAGACACACACACACAGACACACAUACAGAGUGAAAAAGGCGAGCCACCAAACCCAUCUCCAGUCUCCUCCCGGGGGGCCCCCCAGCCCGCCACUGUGCCACUUUGCAUCCCGCGCCCGAGGAGACGCAGAGGAAAGCCGGUAAGGCUUCUUAAUCAUCCACGGUGUAAAGACACACUUCAAGAGGAUCUUUAGAAGUGUUGGACAAGCUUCACCACGCGUGGCAGGUAUGUGUCUACACAACUGAGUGUGCAAGGAAUGUAACUUGUUUUAUUUUCUACAGUUAGAUCUAAAUUAUAUAUUAACCCUUCGUCUGGCCACGUGGAAGCAAUUUGAGGUUGCAUCCUAAUUCUAGGUAAGAUUUUGAAGGUGAGGGGUGACAUAUCUGCUCCUAUGCUCUCAUCUCUCCACGAGUCAUGGUUGUCCUCUUAUCCUGCAUCAGCACUCAUGAGCCACUGCUGAGGCACACCUUGAUCUUUCUUUGAGCAUUUUUUCCUUUCCUUCUCUUGGCUUCUUCCAGAUACUCCCUGGAUGCAUGAUGGUGUGCUGCUGCUGAACCAGAAGAAAGUCUCUGGGGUGGCAUAGAGCUCUGUGCUCCUUGCAUGACACUGUGAAGCCCCUGGGCCUUGUUCUAUUGCUCCUGGUCAUGCUACUCCAGGCAGUCCUUGGCAGACCUGGUCAGGUCCACCUGCGAUAUAUCACUUAGUCAUUUCAAAGGUCCA
rnacentral:lncRNA from 1 species